UUGUUUUUAAAUGGUUCCCCCCACAGUUGCACAGUUAGACUUAAUUACUCCUGUGCUUUCCAGCAUAAAUACGUGGAUAGACUCUUAGAGGUACAGAAGACUUCAGAGCAGUGGUUCUUAGCCAUUUUUGCGACAAUGGUUAGUUCUCUGAUUUGUGCCCAGUUGUUAGUAAAGCUUGUAGUGCCUCUUAAAAUGUUAGUAUCAUGUUAGUGUCAUUUCCCCCUUACCAUUCUUUUCCUUUUCUUUCUUUUUUUUUAAAAAAAGACAGUAUUUCAUUUUGUCCUCCAGGCUGAGUGCAGUGGCAAACUGCUGGGCUCAA
rnacentral:lncRNA from 1 species